rnacentral:rRNA from 1 species
AUGCGACCAACUGCCCUGCUCGCCCUCCUCCUUGCUAGCGCUGCUGGCCCCUGUUCAUGCAUCUCACGAGGAGAAAUCAGAGAUCGCUAUGGCUACCUAUGGGCUGACUCCAUCAUCGUUAUCCAGGUCCGUGACAUUGACAACCGACCCCUCCCCUUCCUCCUCUACCCAUGCGGUUGCUCCGCCGCGCCGGAGACGGUGGGCCUGCUUCUGCGGCUGAAGCGGCGCGAUGAAGAAGGUGUCCUCGAAGCGGCGUGUUUAGCUAUGGUUUGUGCCGCCGGAUGCUAUCUGACAGUGUAUACUCAGGGUUGCCUUCUAUCCAUGUUCAUUUUGUUCUUCAUUCCUUCAUUGGGGUUCAUAUGA